AUAUAUAUAUAUGAGGGGGAUAGGUCGCUGAAAGGUUCCUGGCUUUAAGGGUAUCGCAAAGGGCUUGGUUGGUGGCCCAACCUUCUGGGUUCUUUUAGAGGGUUUAGAAAAACUGAAGGACCGCUACAGUAACUGUGUGAAUCUGAGAGAGGAAUAUGUUCAAUAAAUUCAUUAACUGAUCGUUCUGUAUUUCCUUUUACACA